UACGGAGGGUGCAAACGUUGCUCGGAAUCAUUGGGCGUAAAGCGCACGUAGGCGGCCUGUUAAGUCGGGUGUGAAAUCCCUCGGCUCAACCGAGGAAGUGCAUUCGAAACUGGCAGGCUUGAAUGUGGAAGAGGGUCGUGGAAUUCCCGGUGUAGAGGUGAAAUUCGUAGAUAUCGGGAGGAACACCAGUGGCGAAGGCGGCGACCUGGGCCAAUAUUGACGCUGAGGCACGAAAGCUAGGGGAGCAAACAGG
rnacentral:rRNA from 1 species